CAAACUAUACUAAUAUAUUCGUUUUUUACAAUAAUGAAUAAUUUGUGUGAUUCAAUUUAGUUUGA
rnacentral:tRNA from 1 species